GAUGAACGCUGGCGGCGUGCCUAACACACGCAAGUCGAACGGAGAUUAUUCGCUGCGGAGCCUUCGGGCGAAGCUUGAAUGAUCUUAGUGGCGGACGGGUGAGUAACGCGUGGGCAACCUGCCUUGCACAGGGGGAUAGCAGUUGGAAACGACUGGUAAUACCGCAUAUCUUAGAGAGACCGCAUGAUCUUUUUAAGAAAACGUUAGUGGUGCAAGAUGGGCCCGCGUCCGAUUAGAUAGUUGGUGGGGUAACGGCCUACCAAGUCGACGAUCGGUAGCCGACCUAAGAGGGCGGACGGCCACAUUGGGACUGAGACACGGCCCAGACUCCUACGGGAGGCAGCAGUGGGGAAUAUUGCACAAUGGAGGGAACUCUGAUGCAGCGACGCCGCGUGAGUGAAGAAGUAUUUCGGUAUGUAAAGCUCUAUCAGUAGGGAAGAUAAGACGGUACCUACAUAAGAAGCCCGGCUAA
rnacentral:rRNA from 1 species